rnacentral:tRNA from 1 species
GGAGUGAUAUCCUAACGGGUAAGGAACCUCCCUGCUAAGGAGGCAGCGCAGAAAUGCGCCUGAGCGUUCGAGCCGCUCUCACUCCGCCA